CGUGGUUCCCGAGCGGCCAAAGGGAGCAGACUGUAAAUCUGCCGUCAUCGACUUCGAAGGUUCGAAUCCUUCCCCCACCACCA
rnacentral:tRNA from 1 species